UUGAUUGAUAAAGGGAUGUGCUGGCAAAAUUAUCAUUUUGCAUUGUGCACUCCUGAAAUCUUCAUCCACUUUGUGCACUUUGUAGACAAAAGUCUGCUUCUUGGCUUUUGUCUAUGUUUUUCAAUACACCUUUAUCAGUUAUUUAAUGUUAAUGUGACUUGAUAGUCAAAAUUUUAAUA
rnacentral:misc_RNA from 1 species